CAUCUCUAGAGUGCUGAAUGGUGUUCACCAAGAUGCUGUGUCCAUCUUAGAACCUAUGAAUGUGACCCUUUUGUGAAAGCUUACAGAGAUAAAUCAUUAUGGAUUACUAGCUGAGAAGCCAUAUAAAGAUGGGGUCAGAGUCCGGCUUGAUGCAGCUGCCAAAGAACACUUGGGACCACCAGACCCUGAGCAAGGUUUUCAAAAGAAAGAAAACCCAAGCUUGGAAUCCCAGCUUGAGGAGCGCCCUGCCCUCCGCUGUCACACACCUAGGAGACACAGGUGGAUACCCACCAUCUGCCUCGUCUUUGGUCACCUGAAGACAAGCCAAAGUUCCUGGAAGACUUUAGAAGAUAUACAAUUCUCCCGUAUCACUUAAAAGCACGGAUAUCAGAUGUGGCUGUAUCACUCACUUAGGAUGAUGGAACCUACAGAAAGCUCCACGGGCCCUCCCUUCAUUCCUCUCUC